UGCGUCUCCCUGUGUCCUGCCAGUGGUUUUACCCUAUGGUAGGUUACGUCAUGCUGUUCUACCACAGGGUAGAACCACGGACGGGAUACCGGGGCUGC
rnacentral:pre_miRNA from 10 species